rnacentral:rRNA from 1 species
UACAUGGGGUGCAAACGUUGCUCGGAAUUAUUGGGCGUAAAGAGCUCGUAGGCGGUGUGUCGCGUCGGCCGUGAAAACCUGCAGCUUAACUGUGGGCGUGCGGUCGAUACGGGCAUCACUGGAGUUCGGCAGGGGAGACUGGAAUUCCUGGUGUAGCGGUGAAAUGCGCAGAUAUCAGGAGGAACACCGGUGGCGAAGGCGGGUCUCUGGGCCGAUACUGACGCUGAGGAGCGAAAGCGUGGGGAGCGAACAGG